rnacentral:rRNA from 1 species
UACAGAGGGUGCAAGCGUUAAUCGGAAUUACUGGGCGUAAAGCGCGCGUAGGUGGUUUGUUAAGUUGGAUGUGAAAGCCCCCGGGCUCAACCUGGGAACUGCAUCCAAAACUGGCAAGCUAGAGUAGUGUAGAGGGUGGUGGAAUUUCCUGUGUAGCGGUGAAAUGCGUAGAUAUAGGAAGGAACACCAGUGGCGAAGGCGACCACCUGGGCUCAUACUGACACUGAGGUGCGAAAGCGUGGGGAGCAAA